UCAGAUUUUAUUUUGUUGUAAUUUGGCAAUAUAUAAAAUAAUAAAAUUGAAUUGAAUUGAUGUCAUUCUACAUUCACUUCCCACUAAAUGAACCUGCUUUUUAACAGGUUUAAGCGACUUUGUGUCAUGAUCUGAAGACAUGACUGGAAAAUUCCAUCAGGCACCUGAGUUCCUUGGUCUCCAACCCUGGACGGAGCCAUCAUCUCUCCUACAGUCCUGCACACCUGAAGCUGAUUCUGGGUAGUCAGGUUGAGGAUUUAAUCUCCACUCAGACUCUCCUUUGCCUCCAGUUCGUCAAUGACUGCACUUUCCCUGGACCUUCUUCGCCACUGCCUUCAACCUCAGCUCCUCUCGGAUUACCUCCGCAUUCUGGGAAAUACAGAGAACCUCACCUGCCUGCCCUCCAGCUAUCACUCACCACCUCAGACGCAGUGAAACUCAGACGUACCCGCUCCAUUCCCUCGCACCUGUCAACUCCCAGUUCACCCUCACUGACCCACAGCUGCAUCAUUAGUAACACUUUUCUACGAAUUAAUCUGUUUUCUAAAUAAAAA